GAUGUGAACUUCAAAAGAAAAUGGACAAAAUUCCAAAAUUUCUAUCUUCAUAAUCAAAAAAUUAACUGAUAAUUCAAAUUUGAACCGAUUAUUGCUCAUUCGCCUAUCAAGCACUGUAACGACCCACUCCUGCCUUGUAACCUCCAUGGACUUCCAGUGGGUCACUCAUCCCAACAUUGCUGCAAGGCGAGCAAGCACUGUGAAGUUCCAAUGAGCUUUGACACCCUCACGGCUUUAGAAGAGCUUGUACAAGAUAGGGCAUGAUCGAUUAUAAAUCACUCAACUUUGCUUUCACCAGGCGAUGUGGGACCCGUGAUCACCCAUCCAUACGUCUACUACCGGGACUAAAGCCCGGUCCCAGCCUGGUUAUGGGCGUCACAAUCUAAGAACGAAGAAUCGACACAAAAGCACACAACGCGACUUCAAAGAAAACGGAUUAAAAAAAAUAAAA